rnacentral:rRNA from 1 species
AACGAACGCUGGCGGCAUGCCUAACACAUGCAAGUCGAACGAGACCUUCGGGUCUAGUGGCGCACGGGUGCGUAACGCGUGGGAACCUGCCCUUAGGUUCGGAAUAACUCCCCGUAAGGGGUGCUAAUACCGGAUAAUGUCUUCGGACCAAAGAUUUAUCGCCGUUGGAUGGGCCCGCGUUGGAUUAGCUAGUUGGUAGGGUAAAAGCCUACCAAGGCGACGAUCCAUAGCUGGUCUGAGAGGAUGAUCAGCCACACUGGGACUGAGACACGGCCCAGACUCCUACGGGAGGCAGCAGUGGGGAAUAUUGGACAAUGGGCGAAAGCCUGAUCCAGCAAUGCCGCGUGAGUGAUGAAGGCCUUAGGGUUGUAAAGCUCUUUUACCCGGGAUGAUAAUGACAGUACCGAGAGAAUAAGCUCCGGCUAACUCCGUG